GCGGGAGUAAUUCAGUGGUAGAAUGUCAGCUUCCCAAGCUGACCGUCGCCGGUUCGCUCCCGGUCUCCCGCU
rnacentral:tRNA from 1 species